UAUGCCGACAGAAAAUUCAUGUCACUGCCCCUUUAAGGGAUUAGUGACGUUAGAUGCAGCACUUAAGUGACGCUGCAGCAGAGACCUGAGGGAGAGAACGAGCUGUGUUUAAUAAGUAGAAAAAAGAGUGAAAAAGUUGAUUUUGCUGUUGAAAAACAUAACUUACCUGGUCAGGAACUGACAGGGAUUUUAUGAGAACUAAGCCACACCGGUUUUGGUCAGGUUUUUUUGCUUGGUUUGAGGCUCGGUCGGAGCGAGGAUUGGUCUUCGGUGUGCGGGUGUGCGCAUGCACGGACGGGAUUCAGGAUGGCGAGCCAGACCCAGACUUUCAACUCAUCUUCUCCAUCGCAUCAGUGAGGAAAUCUCCUGCGUACGGUGACUCGCUGCCAGAGCGGUAGGAGUAUCAGGAAUUGUUUUUGAACUGAACUGGAAACCAAUUGAAUUAUUAUUUUUGGACUGAAUCGAACUGAAACUUCAUUGAACUGAAUAAUUGAACUCACAUUUGGACUUGAACUUGAGUUUAAGGUGUUAUACUUUUAUUUUCAUAUUGAGUUCAUAUGUUUGAACGUGAUUGGAAAUGCUUGUGGUCCACUUUGAUUUGGUUGUAAAUUGAAGGUAUUUUCUUACCUGUAAAAGAAAGAGAAAAGAGUUAACUCAGGAAGAAAAAUAGGAAUUCCAAAAUAGGUGCAACCUAGGAAAAGACCGGUCUAACUUAGAUUAGCCUGAUUAAAA